rnacentral:hammerhead_ribozyme from 1 species
AUCCAGCUGAUGAGUCUCAAAUAGGACGAAACACGUAUACUGAAU